GACGAACGCUGGCGGCGUGCUUAACACAUGCAAGUCGAACGGACAGGCCCUGCUCUUGUGGGGUGCUCGAGUGGCGAACGGGUGAGUAACACGUGAGUAACCUGUCCUUGACUUUGGGAUAACUUCAGGAAACUGGGGCUCUUAUAGGAUAGGAGCUCCUGCUGCACGGUGGGGGAUGGAAAGUUUCGGCGGUUGGGGAUGGACUCGCGGCUUAUCAGCUUGUUGGUGGGGUAGUGGCUUUCCAAGGCUUUGACGGGUAGCCGGCCUGAGAGGGUGACCGGCCACAUUGGGACUGAGAUACGGCCCAGACUCCUACGGGAGGCAGCAGGGGAGAAUAUUGCACAAUGGGCGGAAGCCUGAUGCAGCAACGCCGCGAGCGUGAUGACGGCCUUCGGGUUGUAAACCGCUUUCGCCUGUGACGAAGCGUGAGUGACGGUAAUGGGUAAAGAAGCACCGGCUAACUACGUG
rnacentral:rRNA from 1 species